rnacentral:rRNA from 1 species
CCUACGGGAGGCAGCAGUAGGGAAUCUUCCACAAUGGGCGAAAGCCUGAUGGAGCAACGCCGCGUGGGUGAAGAAGGUCUUCGGAUCGUAAAACCCUGUUGUUAGAGAAGAAAGUGCGUGAGAGUACCUGUUCACGUUUCGACGGUAUCUAACCAGAACGCCACGGCUAACUACGUGCCAGCAGCCGCGGUAAUACGUAGGUGGCAAGCGUUAUCCGGAUUUAUUGGGCGUAAAGGGAACGCAGGCGGUCUUUUAAGUCUGAUGUGAAAGGCUUCGGCUUAACCGGAGUAGUGCAUUGGAAACUGGGAGACUUGAGUGCAGAAGAGGAGAGUGGAACUCCAUGUGUAGCGGUGAAAUGCGUAGAUAUAUGGAAGAACACCAGUGGCGAAAGCGGCUCUCUGGUCUGUAACUGACGCUGAGGUUCGAAAGCGUGGGUAGCAAACAGGAUUAGAUACCCGAGUAGUC